CCUCGCUUCGUCUCUUUUACCUCGCGCUAGCUAGUAGCUCCGCCGCAUUCGUACGUGCUACUAAAAAGGCACACGCGUUCGAUAGAGAGUUGCGUGCUCGCCCGUACAGAGAAAAAUUCCCCUACUCGAAAAUUCGUUUCUAACUGAUGUUUCACGGGUGUUUCACGUCGGAUCGUCGAUAAAUUAUGCGUGUACACAUAGGAGGAUAGCCGAUAGGAUAGGGGACAGGCGAGAAGAGUGGAGGCCAAGUGUCGUAGAGAAAACUGGAACUUCGGUCGUGUGUUGUGAAAAGAAAAAGAGAAAAAAAAAAAAAAGAAAAAAGGAAAAGAAGAAGGAGAGAAGAGAAGCAAGGUGGGUGUCUUUUUAUAAAUAAAGCUGCAGAAAGAGGAAGGAAAGAGUUACGCCCGCCGCUGGUGUUCCGUCAGAAUUCGUUGUCUCGCUCGGCCACAGUUUCGAGCAAUUUCGUGCUCAUCAAGUUCCAGCGUAUUUGCCGCUGUUUCGACGUGCUGACUCCACCGAGAGCUGAUACAAGAGCAAAGAGAGAGAGAGAGAGAGAGAGAGAGAGAGAGAGAGAGAGAGAGAGAGAGAGAGAAAGAAGCCUGGAAUUGC